AAGUGAAGAGAUAAAAACGCUUCUCAGUACGCCAUUUUGAACAAUGGCCUACUGAGAAAAUGUUUUUUAAAAUUCACCAGAUAAAGAACUUUUGAAUGUUUGAAUAAAAACGUAAUUUUGUUUCGUGGGCCUAAGCUGUUUGUUUGGUGUGUUUUGAAGGGAAAAAGUCACAAUGUCAGCGAAUGUCUAUGAAGCUGAGCGCAUGAAAGUCGAUGAUGAAGAAGUUCUAUUUGUUCUCUCACUGAAGUGGAUAAAUCCUAAAGAACCACAAAAAGUGAAGAGGCUAGAGACUAGUCUAGAGAAAAUGCUUCAGUCUUGGUUCAACAAAUGCAAACAUAAGGUGGACUGUUCAGUGGAAAGGACUUUAAAAGAUGGCCGUGUUGUGGUAAAGACUAAACCAGCUCCAGCCCUGGCUGAUCUUCAGAAACUGAAUAACCAAACACUAACUGGGAGGGAUGGACAAUCAGUCACCAUAACAUCCAUCAGUCUCACACUGUCAUCUCCACAGCUCGAUACACAAGUACCAGAGGAUGCUUUAAUGAACCUUUCUGCAUCUCUGCAAGAGUUACAAACGGUAUGUACGAUGUGA
rnacentral:lncRNA from 1 species